rnacentral:rRNA from 1 species
GAGCGGAUGACGGGAGCUUGCUCCUUGAUUCAGCGGCGGACGGGUGAGUAAUGCCUAGGAAUCUGCCUGGUAGUGGGGGACAACGUUUCGAAAGGAACGCUAAUACCGCAUACGUCCUACGGGAGAAAGCAGGGGACCUUCGGGCCUUGCGCUAUCAGAUGAGCCUAGGUCGGAUUGGCUAGUUGGUGGGGUAAUGGCUCACCAAGGCGACGAUCCGUAACUGGUCUGAGAGGAUGAUCAGUCACACUGGAACUGAGACACGGUCCAGACUCCUACGGGAGGCAGCAGUGGGGAAUAUUGGACAAUGUCCGAAAGCCUGAUCCAGCCAUGCCGCGUGUGUGAAGAAGGUCUUCGGAUUGUAAAGCACUUUAAGUUGGGAGGAAGGGCAGUAAGCUAAUACCCUGCUGUUUUGACGUUACCGACAGAAUAAGCACCGGCUAACUCUGUG